rnacentral:misc_RNA from 1 species
GAAAUGCGAUAAGUCAUGUGAAUUGCAGAAUUCAGUGAAUCAUCGAAUCUUUGAACGCACAUUGCGCCCCUUGGUAUUCCAUGGGGCCUGCCUGUUCGAGCGUCAUUUGUACCCUCAAGCUUUGCUUGGUGUUGGGCGUCUUGUCCUCUUCUGGAGGACUCGCCUCAAAACAAUUGGCAGCCGGCAUAUUGGUAUCGGAGCGCAGCACAAGUCGCACUUUGCUCCAUGAAUGUUGGCAUCCAUCAAGACUAUAAUUUCACUCUUGACCUUGGAUCAGGUAAGGAUACCCGCUGAACUUAA